rnacentral:lncRNA from 1 species
CCUGCUGCUCAGCUCACAGGGGCCUGUGUGUGUGGCAGCUCCAUCUGGACCCUGUUGGCCCUUCUCAUGGGAGGCCUGAGGACACAGCCAGCAUGGGAGGACUCUCGGGCCCUCUCAGGGGAGAAGACCACAGAAGAUGAGGACUCUCUGUGACCUUGGAUUCAUAGCAACAGAGAAAAGGAUUUUGGGAGAAGACAUUUUAAAAGAUAAAACAUUAUAAGAGAUAAACGAUACAUUAAAUUCUUCUGUGGAACAAAGAAUACAGCCAAGACAAUGAGGAAACCCCAUUACAUGGAAAAAAGUUGGAUGGACAGAUUACUUCAAGAAGACUGAAGUGGGGUUCUACACGCAGGGUCUUCUGAAGAUGGUGUGCCCAAGUUUCUCGUGAGUAGACCUUUUUCGUUUGGGAUGGACACUCUUGUGAAUUUAACAUCGAGGGAACCUAUCUA